AUUGAACGCUGGCGGCAGGCCUAACACAUGCAAGUCGAGCGAGCGGCGGACGGGUGAGUAAUGUCUGGGAAACUGCCUGAUGGAGGGGGAUAACUACUGGAAACGGUAGCUAAUACCGCAUACCAUCAGAUGUGCCCAGGUGGGAUUAGCUAGUAGGUGGGGGAACGGCUCACCUAGGCGACGAUCCCUAGCUGGUCUGAGAGGAUGACACGCCACCCUGGAACUGAACCACGGUCCAGACUCGUCCGGGAGGCAGCGGUGGGGAAUAUUGCACAAUGGGCGCAAGCCUGAUGCAGCCAUGCCGCGUGUGUGAAGAGGGCCUUCGGGUUUUAAAGCACUUUCAGCUGGGAGGCGUUACCCGCAGAAGAAGCACCGGCUAACUCCGUGCCAGCAGCCGCGGUAAUUC
rnacentral:rRNA from 1 species